rnacentral:rRNA from 1 species
ACGAAGGUCCCGAGCGUUGUUCGGAAUCACUGGGCGUAAAGGGAGCGUAGGCGGUGCGGUAAGUCAGAUGUGAAAUCCCGGGGCUCAACCCCGGAACUGCAUCCGAUACUGCCGUGCUUGAGUGAUGGAGAGGUAGCUGGAAUUCACGGUGUAGCAGUGAAAUGCGUGGAUAUCGUGAGGAACACUCGUGGCGAAAGCGAGCUACUGGACAUUUACUGACGCUGAGGCUCGAAGGCCAGGGUAGCGAAAGGGAUUAGAUACCCCUGUAGUCCUGGCAGUAAACGGUGCACGCUUGGUGUGAGGGGAAUCGACCCCCCUUGUGCCGGAGCAAACGCGUUAAGCGUGCCGCCUGGGAAGUACGGUCGCAAGACUA